rnacentral:rRNA from 1 species
UAAUGGCAGGUCAGCAUACUGCCGUGAAUACGUUCCCGGGCCUUGUACACACCGCCCGUCACACCAUGAGAGUUGGGAAUACCCGAAGCCUGUGAGCUAACUGUAAAGAGGCAGCAGUCGAAGGUAGAAUCAAUGAUUGGGGUGAAGUCGUAACAAGGUAUC